rnacentral:tRNA from 1 species
GUGGUUGUAACUCAGUGGUAGAGUGCUUGCCUAGCAUGUGUGAGACACUGGGUUCCAUCCUCAGGACUACA